CCUCACGCGGGAAGCUCUGACGCGCGGCCCACACUCCUGGCCGCCGGGACCGCGCCGAGCCACUGGCGAGACCGACCCGCGCGGUG
ncrna:unclassified sequences c-di-GMP-II-GAG riboswitch